UACGUAGGGUGCAAGCGUUGUCCGGAAUCAUUGGGCGUAAAGAGCGUGUAGGCGGCUAGGUAGGUCCGUUGUGAAAACUCGAGCUCAACCUCGAGACGCCGGUGGAAACCAUCUAGCUAGAGUCCGGAAGAGGAGAGUGGAAUUCCUGGUGUAGCGGUGAAAUGACGCAGAUAUCAGGAAGAACACCCGUGGCGAAGGCGGCUCUCUGGGACGUGACUGACGCUGAGACGCGAAAAGCGUGGGGAGCGAACAGG
rnacentral:rRNA from 1 species